GCCCAGCGCUGUGUGCGAUGCCCUCCCCCUGCCAGAAGCCCCUCCUCCCCCACCAGAAGCCCCUCCUCCCAGCUCUCCAGCUUGCGCAUUAAAGCAGGCUGUGCACCUGUCUGUUGUGAUGAAACAGCUGGUUUUUUCCUGAUGUUUGGUUCAGGGCAAAUUCACAGCAGUGAAAUCAGAACCAGACAAAGCCCCAGGCAGGUCAGCUGACCCCUUUCACCCAGCAGCCCUGCUGAGGAUGGGACAGGCUGGGGUAGCUCGUUUUCCUGACUGUGGACAGGCAUGGUCGGCUCCUGUGCAGUCACGGCUCACUGCAGACGUGAGGGUUGAUCUUCCCACCUCAGCCUCCUGAAUAGCUGGGACUACAGGUGCACGUCCCCACGCUCAGCUAAUUUUAGUAGUUUUUUGUACAGAUUGGGGACCUCUUAUCAUGUUGCCCAGGUUGGUCUCAAACUUCUGGGGUCAAGCGAUGCUCCGGCCUCGGCCUUCUAAAGUGCCGAGAUUACAUGCCUGAGCCACCGGCCCAGCUUCCCGUCAGUUUUUUUUUUUUUUUUUGGUGGUGUCUUGCUCUGUUGCCCAGGCUGGAGUGCAGUGGUGCAAUCUCAGCUCACUACAAGCUCCGCCUCCCAGGUUCAAGCGAUUUUCCUGCCUCAGCCUCCUGAAUAGCUGGAAUUACAGGUACUUGCCAUCAUGCCUGGCUAAUUUUUUGUAUUUUUAGUAGAGCUGGGGUUUCACUGUGUUAGCCAGGGUGGUCUUGAUCUUCUGACCUGGUGAUCCGCCUGCUCACUACAAGCUCCGCCUCCCAGGUUCAAGCGAUUUUCCUGCCUCAGCCUCCUGAAUAGCUGGAAUUACAGGUACUUGCCAUCAUGCCUGGCUAAUUUUUUGUAUUUUUAGUAGAGCUGGGGUUUCACUGUGUUAGCCAGGGUGGUCUUGAUCUUCUGACCUGGUGAUCCGCCUGCCUCGGCCUCCGCCUCCCGAAGUGCUGGGAUUACAGGCGUGAGCCACCACGCUGGCCUCAGUUGAGUUCUAAUUCCUCAAAGUGAACUUGCAACUGUAGCAAGUUGUGAGCAGGGCAGGCUCCUGCUCUGUGUUCUGCCGGCCAUGUGCCGGGAGCUCCCAUUCCUAGGUUGAACUCCUCACCAGGUGGCGGCACAGGAGGCAAGGCCUCUGCCGGGCCAGGAGGUCGGGGUAAUGGCUCUCAUGAGAUGAGGGCCCCAUAAUGGAGACCCGGGGGAGCUCCUUGGCUCCUUUCGCCCUGUGGGACACAGGCUGGAUGAAGGCCCUCCUCUGGAGCCAGAGUCUGCUUGAAGCCUCAGGUCCGUGGUCAUGUGUUAGGGCUGCAGGAGCUGAGACUCUGGGGCCUCACUGCCACCUGCCAGGGGCUUUGAGGCAGCUUCUUCUGAAUUGGGGGGUUUCUGGGGAAGGACAGAAGCAGUGGGCCUCUGGCUCAUGCAGACCUGUCAGCCACCGUCUGAUUGGCUCACCGUGUUGGCGGAGCAUGGGGACCAGCGUCCUCGGGGAGCUUCCUGUCCACUGCUGCUCAGCCCCCUGGUUCUAGAGAACCGGGCUCUGCGGAUUCAGCCCUGACCCCCGUCUUUGGUGGCCGAGGGAACAGGCCUGGAGUGGAUGUGGUGUGGAAACCCAAGAUGAACACUCGGACCUCUGUAUUUUCCUUUCAGUCACGGCUACAGGUAGGCCUUGAAAAACAUGGAACCAUAAACACACAUCACUGAGGGAAAGAAAACGCUGCACACCGAUUCCAACCUUAAGGACCAAAAACAUCAGAGGUGCAGGGGCAGGGAGGCGCAGGAGGACGCCAGGGCACACGGGUCCUCGAGGCCCCAUAGUAGUGAAUCCACAUUGUCAAAGGCCUGUGCACACCCAUGGGACUGAAGGUGCAGAGUGUGAGCUGGGCGGGGACUCUGGGUGCGGGGUGAUGACAAGGGCACACCCAGCAGCUGUCAGCAGUGUGCCCUGGUGAGGGAGGCUAGGCAGGGCAGGGCAGGGGCAGGGUUGCAUGGGGACUCUGCAUCUUCUGCUCAUUUUAAUGGGAGCCUAAACCUGCCCUGACAUAAGCCUACUUAAGAAAACGGCUUCAGGCUGGGCGUGGUGGCUCACGCCUGUAAUCCCAGCACUUUGGGAGGCUGGGGCAGGUGGAUCACGAUGUCAGGAGUUCGAGACCAGCCUGGCAAACAUGGGUAUAACCCCUUCUCUACUAAUACAAAAAAAUUAGCCAGACACGGUGGUGGGCACCUGUAAUCCCAGCCACUUGGGAGGCUGAGGCAGGAGAAGUGCUUGAACCCGGGAGGCGGAGGCUACAGUGAGCCGGGAUAGCACCACUGCACUCCAGCCUGGGAGACAAGACUGUGUCUCAAAAAGAAAAAAAGGCUUCAAAAACCUUUGCUUCUUGGAAACACCUACUUUUAAGUAAAAUAAUAUAACCAUCUUCAUUAAAGUCUUCAAUGGAUGAGCAAGACUUUGAAUGACCUUGGCUGUCGAGGGGGAGUGUCACCCACAGGAGCCAGCCAGCCAUGGCUCCACGGGCAGCCACUCCGCACCACACCCACACAGGCCUACCAUGCAGCCCCCGAGUCCCCAGAGUUUUCAGGAACCACUUCCAAAAGACACACCAUUGUGACCGGAGCCACUGGCAAAUACUAGGGUUCUUCAAACCACAUUUCAGCACAUUCUUCACUUUAAUUUAUAAAACAAACGACUGAAUGUGAAAGUCUCCCUUUGACGGGCACAGCAUUAUUCACACAUUUUGUACAAGAGCAGCCCACCUGCUAACCUGCACGCUGUUGGCACGUGGCAGGAUUUGGGUACAGGUCUACGGUUCACAGAUCGAGGAGGCUCGUGGAAGGCGGUUUGCUCCUUAGCACUUCUGGGACACACUGGGGUCUCUCCCACUCAGGGUGGGGUCCUGGCAGCCCCACUCCUCCAGCAGGUGUGACUGCAGCGGCCACAGGCCGGACCCCGCUACCUGGACAUCCCCACACUGGUCUGGGAAACCUGUGAGACCCAGUGUCUCCUUGGCUCCUGCCUCUGCCCUGGGGUUUCUUACUUUCCGUCUUUGGAGUUAAGUGUCACCGGCUAAGGUUGGGAGGGUGGCCGAAACUUGUCUCCACAUUCCACCCAGAAGCCUGAGCUGCGGGAGGGCAGGGUGGCCAAGGUCUCGGGCCGUGGGCAUGGACAAGGGGCCGGCAGUAGGCUCAGCGCUGGCAUUCGUGUCCUAGCACCUGGGGCCUGGGUGAAAUCCACGAUGCUGUGCUCAGUGCAGGCAAUGGCAGCACCCUGAGAAACCUGAGUGUCGGGGGUGGCUGGGCUCACCUACUGGGUAUGGCCUGGAGGCGCCAACCUCUGACUUGAGAUUUUCUUUAUCCUCUCCUCCCCAAGCCACCAGCUGCACCAUGGGCUGGGGUGGCCCUGAGUCAUGGAGGCCUGGGGUCUCUGUGCUUGGCUGAGGGGUGCGUGGCAAUUCCACAUCUGUGCACUAGGCCUUACUCAGAGGUACAAGGUGCUGUGACCCUCUCUCCCAGGGAGCCCAGAAGAUGGCUCAGCCACACCUGGCACCUAGCAGACCUGCCUCUAGGAGCCUCAGCUCUGGGCAGCUGUCCCUUCACCUGAGGAGCGGGAGCUCGGGACCACCGCCCCGUCGUGUCCUGCUGGCUCCUAAACUUCCCCCCUACAUGUGGGUUGCGUCUGAACGUGAGACAAGUGCCACUCACGGAAAAAAGGCAUCAGAGGAGCUUCGACAUCAUCGGAACAUUUUAUUCCUCAGGACGCUACACGCUCGCUUUCCUGGCGCAGCAGAUCAGUGCACGGAGUUGUGUUUCUGUGGAAGAUGUGCACCUCCGGAACUGCACGACAGCCCCUCGGCAGGGUCCCACGGUCCGCUGUGACGCAGGCGCAGCAGCAAGUUCCUCUGGCGCGGAGCUGGUCUGCUGGGCCCAGGCACGAAGGGCCGUUCCGCUCCAGCAGCGCUUGCGACUUCCUCCGCAGUCUCGGCGCGAGCGUCCAUCCCCAGCUGCCCUUGGAGCCGUGCCCAGCCUGGCAUGCAUAUGCGGUGGUGAAGGAUACAGUUAAAGGGUCAAUCCCGCGUGUCCACAACAGAGAUGCCCGCAGCCUCACACGGACUCCUCCGUGGACAGCAGUAGCGGGUUGAUGUACUCGAAGCCUUCGAACUCCGACUGGUCAAUCCUCUUUAUGGUGUCCCUGUGGGCAAGAAGAGUGGGAGGAAGGCGGGGGAUGACCGUGUGUUCAUUCCCUUGGGGGAGCGGAGUCACAUUCACCUAAGAUUCCUCCCCCCACGCCCACUGGGGAGAUGACACCAGGCGGGUGUGCAUCAAGGGCGGGCCGGGUCAACAGCUGCCCAAGGUGCGGCCCCUUCAUGGGGCUGCCCGAGGAGUGCUCUAGGGUCCCUGCUUUCCCGCCCCCAGUGGAACUUACUCGUCAUCCGGGGUCAGCUGCACGGGCUCACUGGUGAACUGGGUGUCAAAAUUGUCCAGACCAUAGUCGUCUGUGAUCUGUGGCUGGAAUGGAGGGAGCGCCUGCUUCUUCUCCAGCUUGGAAAAACAACGCGAGAAGAGUCAGCUCCACGCGGGCGUCACCCUUACCAGAUUCAGUAUUUUAAACGCACUUGAAUCACAAAAUGAAAUAGUAAGAAACUCAGCAUUUCAAUCUGCCUA